CCGUAAAAAACAAUAUAAUAAAACUCAGUUUAAUACGCCUUUUAAUAGCUUCGCCUGAUGUGGUCUGGGUCCUGCGCAAUGGGAUGCCGUGAACCUUGUCAGGUCCGGAAGGAAGCAGCAAUAAGCGGAAGUUCUUAUGUGCCGCAGAUAAGCCUUCUCCAUUGUCUUGCGGAGCUAUUAAAAGGCGUUUGCUU
rnacentral:SRP_RNA from 1 species